rnacentral:tRNA from 1 species
AAGGCUUUAGCUUAUUUAAAGUGUCUGUUUUGCAUGCAGAAGAUGUGAGAUAAAUACUCGCAAGCCUUA